ACUCAAAUGAAUAGACGGGGGCCCGCACAAGCAGUGGAGUAUGUGGUUUAAUUCGAAGCAACGCGAAGAACCUUACCAGGUCUUGACAUCCCGAUGACCGGCGUAGAGAUACGUCUUCUCUUCGGAGCAUCGGUGACAGGUGGUGCAUGGUUGUCGUCAGCUCGUGUCGUGAGAUGUUGGGUUAAGUCCCGCAACGAGCGCAACCCUUAUUGUUAGUUGAUACAUUUAGUUGAUCACUCUAGCGAGACUGCCGUUGAUAAAACGGAGGAAGGUGGGGACGACGUCAAAUCAUCAUGCCCCUUAUGACCUGGGCUACACACGUACUACAAUGGCAGUCAUACAGAGGGAAGCAAAGCCGUGAGGUGGAGCAAAUCCCUAAAAGCUGUCUCAGUUCAGAUUGUAGGCUGCAACUCGCCUACAUGAAGUCGGAAUUGCUAGUAAUCGCGGAUCAGCAUGCCGCGGUGAAUACGUUCCCGGGCCUUGUACACACCGCCCGU
rnacentral:rRNA from 1 species